rnacentral:rRNA from 1 species
UACGAAGGGGGCUAGCGUUGCUCGGAAUUACUGGGCGUAAAGGGAGCGUAGGCGGAUAGUUUAGUCAGAGGUGAAAGCCCAGGGCUCAACCUUGGAAUUGCCUUUGAUACUGGCUAUCUUGAGUACGGAAGAGGUAUGUGGAACUCCGAGUGUAGAGGUGAAAAUUCGUAGAUAUUCGGAAGAACACCAGUGGCGAAGGCGACAUACUGGUCCGUUACUGACGCUGAGGCUCGAAAGCGUGGGGAGCAA